CAGGGUGCUAUUUAAAGUGCUGUAGGUUAAUUUAUGUAGACUCAAGUUUCAUUUCCUGCUCAGUGGGAGAGAAAUACCUGUGAGGCUUAUGAACAUCUAUGUAUUUAUUUAUUUAUUUUUAAAUUAAACCUGGUGAGAAAUAAAGCAGGAUCCGCCACUAGAUGGCGCAACGAUGCUGAUUUUCGUGUAACGUCUUUGUGAUGUCUGCAUAAUUAGGUUGCAAUUGAUUCAUGAUUUGGUUCUAAGUGAGUAAAGUCACAUAUGGUGGUUUGAUUGUACAUGACACAUUGCCUAUGCGAAUGGAUCUGGUGUUUUUUUGUUUUUUUUUUAAAGCUUACUAGUCAUGAUGAGUGAACACGUGACUCUCUCACUCGCUCUCUCUGUCUGUCUGUUUACAGGAAACAUGAAUCCCUUAGGGAUGAUUCUAAUACUUUCAGUGACCUUUAUCUGAAAAGUGAUUUAUAAUUUAUUUAUUCAUAAUUGAUUUCUCCAGGCUCCGGUUUAUGACACAGCCCUGGAGAUCUGCUACACAGGCUAUUAUCCUUCAAACAGGAGAAGGGGCGGAGACACAGGAUUUAUAACCGACGCGCAGAGGAACCAAUCAGAUAUUCGAGCCCCAAGGGUGGGCGGGGAUAACGGAUUUUUCUCAGCGAAUGGUGUUCCUCAGAAUGAAUCCUGAAAGCGAUUGGAAAUUGGAGGUCACAUGACCGUUUUGUGUAUCUGUCAGAUAGAAAACUGAGAAGAGAAACGAAGAGAAGGCAAACACACACACACACGCACACACUCUCAUUUACACUCACACUCACACACAUACACAUAUAUACAGAAGACUGAUAAACAAAACUCUGCUUCGGAACCAGGGUAUGCUCGGCAUUAUUUUGGAAGACAUUUGAUUUAUUUAAGCGGAAAAAAGAUGCAGUUCAUGCUGCUCUUCAGCAGGCAAGGCAAGCUUCGCCUGCAGAAAUGGUACGUUCCACUGUCCGACAAGGAGAAGAAGAAGAUCACACGUGAGCUGGUGCAGACCGUCCUGGCACGAAAGCCCAAGAUGUGUAGCUUUCUGGAGUGGAGAGACCUCAAGAUUGUUUACAAAAGAUACGCCAGUUUGUAUUUCUGCUGUGCCAUCGAGGACCAGGACAACGAGCUGAUCACCCUGGAGAUCAUUCAUCGCUACGUGGAGCUGCUGGAUAAGUACUUUGGCAGUGUGUGCGAGCUGGACAUUAUCUUCAACUUUGAGAAGGCCUACUUCAUCCUCGACGAGUUUCUUUUGGGUGGAGAAGCUCAAGAGACGUCCAAGAAGAACGUCUUGAAGGCGAUCGAACAGGCUGACCUGCUGCAGGAGCUCUCUUGUUAGCUGUCAAUGCUGUUAUGCCUGGUGUGACGGUGAUUCCUCAGUUGGGAGGAACUGAACAGCCUGGAGGAGCUUUAAUAACUCCACACACACAUAAAAACACACACACACACACACUCUCUCUCUCUAUUUGAAUGUAGAACUAUGGCGCUCACACCAGCAGGUUUUGGAGCUGUUGGAGAUUUACGAGCUUUGUCACUGUGUACUCUUCCUCGUUUUGGAUACACAAACACACACUAACACGCACAUAUGUACACACAUUUCUAGCUGUGUCUCAAACUGCAUACUUAUAUACUUAACUGUGUGAAAGAUGUAAGCAAAUACAUUACUGGAUAAAGGACGGACUGCAUUUGCCAAACAAACGUGGAAAAACGGACAUUUAUUUGCGCUAACCUGUCCCAUUAUGCACCAUUGAACAAAAGAGGAGGGGCUUAGUCACAAAACUGACAUGACUACCAGUUUAUAUAGAGGUUUUUAUUGUCUUGCUGUUUCUGUCUCCAUCUCAGAACUGUAACUGAUAUUGAAUUGUACAUUCAAAGGAAAAAUGCACUUAUUACAGAAAAAAAAUUGUUGGUUAUUUUUCAUACAAUAUGGUUUCAUAAAAGAAAUGCCAGAAAUAUACCAGGAAAUGUAGCAAAAAAAAGUACAAAAUAUAACAACAACCCCUUUCCCCUGGGAAACCUGUGGUGCAUAAACAGCAUUUGCAUAUUAAACAUGAUCAGCUCUUACAUUUUAUGACGCAGUGACAACAAUCGCCUGUCUCAUGUUUACUCAGAUUUAACCAUUUUCAUCUUCCCUUUCUUCUUCAAAUAACACAGCAGUGGCAUUUCUUUUCCAGCACACAGUUCCCCUAAAAACAAGUUAAUUAUCAAAAACAUUUAAUAAAGUGUAAGGAAUAAAGCUUUAUAUGAUUUUUUAGUGAAUAUUAUUUACUGUAAAUUAUAAACUGCAAUAUUAAAGUAACACCUUUUUUUAUUAAGCUUUUAUUUAUGUUCAUUUACACCUGAUUAGUCCAUGUCCCAGUUCCUGUAAAUCAGUAUAAAUUAAAUUACAACAUAAUAUUAAUUGUUGAUAAUAAAAUUUUGCGAGUGAACCAUCAUGAACAUAUUAAAGCACAAGUUCAUGGUGGUGGUUGGAUGAAAUAAAUAUGGCUUAAUGCAUGUGUUUAUUAUUUGAAUGAUGUGGUUUUAUUACAGAAAUGCAUUCGUUAUUUUGUUAACACUCCUAAUGGUCUAUCAGUCCUUCCAGGACUAUGAAGCGAACGCAAAAUCAUGCAAACUCCGCAAUAUCCGGAGGAGCUUGCUGUUUUUCAAUCUGCGGUCAUUUUGAAAAAUUGCAAUUGAAAAAUUGUGUUCAGCCGAAGUGCUCUUCGAUUCACGUGCGUCGAACAUGAGUACAGCUAAAAGGUCUCGUUUACCAACAAACAUCACUGCGAAAAAGCGUGCGAAACGAUUUUGUUCGAUUGUAAAUUCAAGUUUCCAAAAAAUAAAAGCACAAAAUUGCAUCGCAAAUUUAGAAAAAAAGAAACAAGAAAAAAAAAAACGUCUGUACGAACUGAAAUAUUAACUCUGAAGUUCGUUGUUUAAUUUCUAAUGUCUGAACUAAUUCAUUAAUUAAAAAGCAUUACCUUUAGCUUUAGGUUAUCUUAAAAUUAAUGAACAAUCACAUACAACUGAACAGCACAGUUGUUUGUUUACAAAAAUGUUAGCGUUUGAAUUGUACUAAUGUCUCAGGUACUAAUCUUCUAAUCUCUUGUUAUUAUUGAAUUAUCUUCAAUACUUUCAAGUGUCGGGCCGGUAUGCGAUUUGAGACACGUCUGUUUCCUUCCUCUCUUAAAACACCAUCGGGUAUCCUCUCCUUAAAUUCGUCUUUUCAAAGCACUGCAUUAAACAAAGCAAAACAAAGCCACUCCUUCAGGUUCAAAGCCCUGCCACGGCCACCGGGUCUUCACCAAGCAGCUCAUGAAAACUGUUCUGUGCUGGAAUAAAUCACAGCGUGGAGUAAAUGGCACUUAUUACUGCACAAGCUGCCUGCUGUGAUGGCCUUUGAUUAAGCGUGCACACCGAUGACAGAAAUAGAUAUUGUUGAGGCAGAGUCGGUUCUGCAGGAGAAGCCCGGCACGCCGCAGCUGCUCUUUAUCUCGGCACAGUAAUUACUGCUGACAUUUCAGAAGCUGUUGCCAGCUAUCUUUUCUUUCUCUUUUCAUUUUUUUUUCCUUUUCUUCUCUGUUUCUUGUCUAUUGUCAAUGGGCUUUGUUCAGCACAGAAUCACUUGGUACUUUUUAUGAUUCCACUUGACAUGAUUUCUUUCUUUCUUUCUUUCUGUCUGUUCUCUUUCACACCUCUCUAUCUGUCGUCCGUUUCUCUUGUGUGAUUUUUUUGCAGAAUCUUGAUUUUCAGAUCCGCUUCUUACCAGGUAUGAAGUGUUUAUCUGUGGGCUUGCUCUGUUUUGAGUUGUGUGUGUCUGUCUGUGUGUGUGUGUGUGUGUGUGUGUCUGUGUGUGUGUUUUUUGCAUCUCUCCUCCCCAGCCCAGACAUGAAUACUUUAACGUGCCUGUGUACUGAUUGGCUGUUGGUGGCUGCCCGUCAUGCAUGCUGAGCCCCUCCCCCUUGCAUGGUGUGCCUGCUGGUCUUCCUCUUCCACCACCGUCCUAUCAGAAUGCAGCAUCUCUGGGUCUCCAGUCUCAUCGUCAUCCAGUGUGUGUGUGUGUGUGUGUGUGUGUGUGUGUGUGUUGUUCAUGCCACAUUCACCAUACACCCAUUGCCACAUUCCUUUUCUCUGCUCUCUUUCUCGCACACACACACACACACACACACACACACACACACACACUCACACACACUCCUGUGUACCUUCAUCCCUCGUCUACCUGUACCUGUGUGGAAUCAGUGAGAGCUCCCCCUGGUGGUCAUUUUUUCCACAUUAUCCAGCCUGCAUCGUUCAAAUCUAUUACUGUAUGAUUGGAAUAUAAAUCAUAUGAUUGGUGUUUUUGUUUGUUUUUUUUGUUUUCAUUCUAAACAAUUUUCCACCAACCCUUUCUGUAACGUUGAAUGUUUGAUGCACUGUGUAGAGGUUUUAAAUUCUGAAGAUCAGGCUUCUGAAAGAAACUCAAUGCACCCGUAUACUUUUAUACGUUAAAAGUAGAAAUCCACCCUGAACCAUGCGCCUAUCAGUAUAUCUAAUUCACAUGUGAUCUUUACUGGUGUCAGCUCUACCUAAAGAGACCGAUGGAGCAGCGCUUUAGUCCUUUAAUCCGUCCUGCUCUCUCAUUUAUAUUCUCUGCUCAAACAGAUCAGCUUCCAAAGUUUUCAUGCCAAUACCACUGUAAACUCCAUCGCGCUCGUAGAUCUCUAACUAGCCAAGUCGAGUGUACCGUAACUCGUAUCGCUGCGUUGCAUUCUGGACCUUUGAGUCCAAUGUUUGCGUCAGCGUCUCCACUGUUUAUACGUCGGAUUUCUCGUUAACAUGACGUUGAAGUCUUAAAAACGGCGAGCGAGAAUAGAAACUCUCACUCUUUUCGUUUUCAGGACCGAAACCUGAACGUUAUCACUUAGGUUUGAGAUCCAUAACUGAGCUAGCAAUAACAGUGUCUUCGGGUGACAUCGGAGCGGCUGCCAACUUCUCACAGGAACAACAAAAAUACCGCACCAACCAAGAAAUUCACACCAGAGUCUAAACAUAUUCAACAUGAUUCAGGGUGAAGUGUUUUUGUUGUUGUUGUUGUUUUUUUCCUUUACUAUGCUGGAAGGUUUGUUUGUACGUUAUGGACGAGACAUUGUCGAGUAUAUGUAAUAUUUCAAAACACUCUGAUUUUCUCAUGACUUCUUGAGAAUAUGGUGAGGAUCUGUCAGUCAGUAUAUGUUGUGUUUAUACUGCAUGUCUGUAUUUGUAUAGAGCUAGUAGACAUCACAGGGUUGCCAGAAUGGACUGUUUCCAGCCUUAUACCGUUUAGUCAGCUUAGUGUUUAUAGUAUGCCUGAACACUAAAAUGUGACGUGUAAAUGGUUGAUUGGAGUUUGGGUCAAAGGUAUUGAGGUAUUUCUGAAAGCGUUACAUAUCUAGCAUGUUUCAUAGCUAACUUGAUUUUUUUUUUUUUUUUUUUUUUUUGCAAUAACAAACUGUGGUUUUGAUGGACAUGAUGAGUGUAUAUUUGUGACAAAUGUUAAAAAAAAAAAAAAAAAGAAAAUUAAUAGACAGGAAAUCCAAUCUGGCAACCCAGUGCCUCCACUCAGCAAAUAUAACUGUUGUUAGAAAUGUGAAUUUGAAUACAGAUCAGGAGGAAAUCAGGUUUGAACUUCAUGUAAAGUGUUGUAGCGUGAGCAAUGCUAAUGAUGUGAAAGGUUGACUGAAGAAUAACUGCGUAAUACGAUUAUUGAAACAGCCCAUACAGGAUUUUGCCUAGUUAUUUUUUUGAUUGUUGCGGCCAAAAAUGCUUGAAUUUGCUGCGGCUUUUUUCAAACUUUGCGAUGCAACUUGUGUAGUUUUUUUUGUGUGUUUUUUUUCGAUGCGGAAAACUACUUAAAUUGGCGAAAUUGAAAUUGGCACGAAAUUGUUUCGCGCAGUCUUUCGCAGUGAUGUUUGUCAGUAAACGAGACCUUUUAGCUGUGUUCACGUUCGACGCACGUGAAACGAAGGGGGCUUUGGCGGACCGCGUGUCGUGAUGAUGUCACGCAACGCGUCUCGGCCCGAAUCUGCGGUCAUUUUGAAAAAUUGCAAGCUCCUGCGAAGACUGCGGAGUUUCCUCGAUUUUGCGUUCAUUUCUGCGAUCGCAAAAUGGCGAAAUCCUGGAAGGACUGGUUGAAACAGUUGCACAGUGUAGCAGCCUGUGUUAGGAAAUAAUUUCCAAGAUUACAGCAUAAUCAACAACGUAAUCGAUUUUGUUUCUCAAGUGUGCAGAGUUGUAUUAGUUUUGUCGGAAUCUGUUUUGUUAACAAAGACGAAUAAAGUGAUGAUUAUUUCGAUUGA